UUUCCGUAGGUGAACCUGCGGAAGGAUCAUUAAUGAGUUGUCAUGGGGUUCGAUGCUGGCAGCCAGUUUUUGGAUGCAUGUGCUUGCCCUAACAAUCAUCUUCUUCCCAACACCUGUGCACAUUUUUGAGGGAGUCUUGAGUUGGUUGCCGCUCUUGGGUGAUUUUCUCACAUUCCCUUAAAUCAUUAUACGCUAUUAACAAUGUUGAACGUGCUCUGUGCCGCAAGGCCAUUAAUAUAAUACAACUUUUAACAACGGAUCUCUUGGCUCUC
rnacentral:misc_RNA from 1 species